AUCUAUCUAUCUUUUUACCUAUAUCCAUCUAUCUAUUUACAUAGUGACACCACACUUGUGACACAUCCACUCUCCGUCAGGGACAGUGCCUGCAUCCACACACGCCAUGUGGAACCACAGCUGGCAGAGGUCGCACUGGAUCCAGUCAUCCACCUCUGCGUUGGACCCUGGUGGCAAGGUGUUUUUACAAAUAGCACAGUCGCUGCCAUCGUCCAUUGCAGGCGCUCGGGCUUGCAGUGGCACCCGACGCCGUAUCCCUUCUGCUUUCUGGCCAAAGGGCAGACAGGUGAAGUAGAGCAGGUGGGAACAGCAGAGGAGGGCGCAGCGGCUGCCGUGGAGGAGGAGGGAGCAGCGGCUGCCGUGGAGGAGGUGGGCGCAGGGGCUGCACUGGGUGUGGCAGCAAGGACCCUGGCCCUGUCAAGGGAGUCCAGUGUUUCGGAUGGUGAGCUUUGAAGCGGACCCACCAGUUGACGCUCAACCCCGUCUCCAGGUUGACCAGAGUCUUCCGGCUG